rnacentral:lncRNA from 1 species
UUGAAUUUAAAAUUUUCCUUCUCUUCUCCCCUCCCCCAAGCUUCUAUGAUAUGAAACAAGGAUUUUAAGCAUCGCUACAUUUAAAGAUUUUAGAAGAUAAUGCUUGAUGAUGCCUGUGAUAUGCAGCCUGGGACAAAACACAGAAUUAGAUGCCUAUGAAACAAACGGCACAAAAAACUCCAAUGAACCAUGGGCAUAUGUGCACCCACGUCUGCAGGCUUUCACUCUGUGCUGAGAAAGCAGACACCCAGAUCUGCGGGCAGCACACAGAGCAGCCCAAAUCCUCCCGAGGAUUCUGAGCCUGAGUCCUGUCAUUUCCAAGGAAUCUUGCAGAAGGCUGAGGUGGAUCAUGUGAGGCCAGGAGUUUGAGGCUGUAGUGUGCUAUAAUUGCACAUGUGAAUAGCCACUGCACUCCAGCCUGAGCAACAUAGUGAGACACUGUCUCUACUAAAAAAGGAAAGAACCUUGCUACAAUUACUGGCUACUAGACCUAACAGUGGGAAUAACAGAGUAAGGACCUCCAGAAAUCUGCUCCUCCAUAAAAGCAAUGAGAACACUGGAAACAUGGUCUAAAUCAAUUUUUUCAGAGCUUUGGAAAUUAACUAAAGGAUUACAAGAACCAAAAGCAUGUUUGCUCAAGCUGAAUAUAGAUAAAGACAGCAUUUUGUGUUGUUUUAACUGUCCCUAAUUCUAUCUCCACUCCUCAGCUUUGUGGUAGCCUUGAAAACCAACAGACUUGAAGCUAUGAUAGCCAUUGAAGCCAGCAGCCACUGGAAGAGGCAAAUGGGGUUUGGAGUUCCCCUAAAGCCCCAUCCGUAGAACUGUCAGCAUUUAACCCACCUGGCCACUUAGCAAAGGUUCAUCCAUUCUCAGAACUCGGUCUGUGCAAGCAGCCCUAUCUGCAAGGCAUUUGUUGAGAACAAUCAGUGACAAUUGUUUCACAUCACAGCAGCCUGAGGCGGUGCUAACAGGCUAAUAAGAG